CAUGCAGUCGAACGAUGAACCACUUCGGUGGGGAUUAGUGGCGAACGGGUGAGUAACACGUGGGCAAUCUGCCCUUCACUCUGGGACAAGCCCUGGAAACGGGGUCUAAUACCGGAUAACACUUCCACUCUCCUGGGUGGAGGUUAAAAGCUCCGGCGGUGAAGGAUGAGCCCGCGGCCUAUCAGCUUGUUGGUGAGGUAAUGGCUCACCAAGGCGACGACGGGUAGCCGGCCUGAGAGGGCGACCGGCCACACUGGGACUGAGACACGGCCCAGACUCCUACGGGAGGCAGCAGUGGGGAAUAUUGCACAAUGGGCGAAAGCCUGAUGCAGCGACGCCGCGUGAGGGAUGACGGCCUUCGGGUUGUAAACCUCUUUCAGCAGGGAAGAAGCGAAAGUGACGGUACCUGCAGAAGAAGCGCCGGCUAACUACGUGCCAGCAGCCGCGGUAAUACGUAGGGCGCAAGCGUUGUCCGGAAUUAUUGGGCGUAAAGAGCUCGUAGGCGGCUUGUCACGUCGGGUGUGAAAGCCCGGGGCUUAACCCCGGGUCUGCAUUCGAUACGGGCUAGCUAGAGUGUGGUAGGGAGAUCGGAAUUCCUGGUGUAGCGGUGAAAUGCGCAGAUAUCAGGAGGA
rnacentral:rRNA from 1 species